rnacentral:lncRNA from 1 species
GUGGUUCCUGCUCUUUGGGGUGGCAGGUACACUUCUUGCUAAAACAAAUCAUCUCGGUGUCUUUGAUUUUCCUUCUGUCCCUUAGGCUAUUGCUUUUGGAAGGGGGCCCUGGAUCUCCCUCCUGUUUGCUUGGGGGUAAACACAUGGUAUCAUGGGGUUAUGAACACAUGUUGCCUGUGCCAGAUAGCAACACUGCCUCCAGUCUUGAAAAUAAAGCUGGGGGAAGCUGCCCACCUUGUGUGAUAAGGUUGGAGCCUGUCUGCCACACCUCCCUGUGUGUCUCCACGUGUCCUCAGGCCUGCUGGGGGGCUCCCUUGCCCUGGUGUCUCAUGCAGAGGAAGGACGUGGCGUGUGUGGACAGCCAGCCUGGCGGUGGUGCGUAGUGACUGCCCAGCCUGUGGAAGCUGCUGCUCUUGCCUCUUCGGACUGUCCCUCCCCUGUCUAGGACGUCACUUCAUCUAAACACUGCAGGUUGAGCCCAGUAGGAAAAUGAGAACUGCUCUUUUUCUUUCUUUCUUUUUCUUUUUUUUUUUUUUUUUUAAAUACAGAGUCUCACUCUGUUGCCUAGGCUGGAGUAUAGUCCAUGCUGUUUUGAUAG